ACGGAGGGGGCAAGCGUUGUUCGGAAUUACUGGGCGUAAAGGGCGUGUAGGCGGCGGUUUUAGUCAGGCGUGAAAGCCCGGGGCUCAACCUCGGAAUAGCGCUUGAUACUGAACUGCUUGAGACCGGAAGAGGGUAGUGGAAUUCCCAGUGUAGAGGUGAAAUUCGUAGAUAUUGGGAAGAACACCAGUGGCGAAGGCGGCUACCUGGUCCGGAUCUGACGCUGAGGCGUGAAAGCGUGGGGAGCAAACAGG
rnacentral:rRNA from 1 species